rnacentral:lncRNA from 1 species
AGUUUUAAGACUGGAAGAUCCUGAGGAAAGUCACUGCUCCCUGCCCUGGGUUCCCAUCCAGGCCACUUUAGAGGCAAGGCUGUACUGCUGAGAAGAGAUUCUAAAUCCAGCUGGAAAAUGUCCCUCAGCAGGACCCACAGAGGAUAACAUUGAAAAAGGCAGUUUGACCUCCAGGUGGAGAGGGACAAGGCCUACUGUGUGAAGAAGAUGGUGGCCUCAUUCCCCUGCAGCUACCAGCUCCACAAGACAGGUGGCCGUCGCAGGCCUCUACCCCAACCUGGCCCAUCGGAGAUCCUGGCUCUGUAGGCAGAGCAGAGGACCAAGCCUUGCUCUCUGGCCACUCCAGCUCCUUAGGGGAAGUAGGUGUGUGUCUCCUCGAGAGGGUCUAAGCCAUAUCUCACUUCUCCACUGUCUUUCUCCAGGACAGUGUCCCCAAGAUGUACGUCUCAGCCAGGACCCCCAGAGCAGCCAGAAAAAGAGAUUGAGAGAAGCACACAGCCCCUCCCCAAGAUCCAGAUGUCAGCCACCACACCUGGCCUGCCACACUUCCUUGAUGCUAUUGACAUUUAUAAUAGCAAGCAGGUUUUCUCCCUUUGGGUCCGGAGAUCAGAGUUCUUUGUUGGGAUUGAAAGCAUGAACGUGUCAUUUGAUGGGGCUUUGGACAGUGGUCAUGACGUGAAGAAUUAGGAAGCCAUAGGCUGGGAGGCAAGCCCAGGGACAUGACCUGCAGAGGAAGGCCCAUGCACCUGCCACCAGGCAUCGAAGACCUCAAGGCCAUUCUCCGGUGAACCCAGGGGUGACAGACUGAACAGUGAAUUGCCAAGACCGAGGGCUGAUCUGCUCUACAGAUGUCUCCUGCAGACUCCAAAGCAUUCUAUAACCUAUUCUAACCACGGCUCUGUGCGGGCUGUGGUGCUUCUGUGCCCUCUGCCCCUGGCACAGCAUGAGGCCGGCAGCUGAUUCAGCGCAUUGUCUGGAGACCCAGCAUGGUGCCAUCUCUGCUGACUUUCAUCUCUAUUGGCUAAGAAUCCUUGCCAACAGGGCCUCUGAAAUGAGGGAGGCACACACGGAUCUGCCCGGGAACGUGUGCUACAAGGUUAAGCGUGUUUGCCCAGGCGAGGUCCGGAGUUCAAAUCCCAGCAACCACAUGGUGGCUCACAACCAUCUGUAAUGAGAUCUGACUCCCUCUUCUGGAGUGUCUGAAGACAGCUACAGUGUUCUUACAUGUAAUAAUAAAUAAAUCUUUAAAAAAAAAAAAAAGAAAAUUACCUUACUGGCAACCCUCGUACUAGCUACCUGACACCCAUAGGCACAAAUGAAUAAAAUAAAAUAUGCUUCAGAUAUAUUGAGUAAAA